UACAGAGGGUGCGAGCGUUAAUCGGAAUUACUGGGCGUAAAGCGCGCGUAGACGGUUUGUAAGUCAGAUGUGAAAUCCCUGGGCUCAACCUGGGAACUGCAUUUGAGACUGCAUGGCUAGAGUAUGGAAGAGGGAAGUGGAAUUUCCGGUGUAGCGGUGAAAUGCGUAGAUAUCGGAAGGAACACCAGUGGCGAAAGCGACUCCUGGUCCAAUACUGACGUUCAUGUGCGAAAGCGUGGGGAGCAAACAGG
rnacentral:rRNA from 1 species